UACAGAGGUCCCAAGCGUUGUUCGGAUUUACUGGGCGUAAAGGGUGCGUAGGUGGCAGGGUAAGUUCGGUGUGAAAGCUUCGAGCUCAACUCGGAAAUGGCAUUGAAAACUAUCCUGCUUGAGGGUCGGAGGGGAGACUGGAAUUCUCGGUGUAGCAGUGAAAUGCGUAGAUAUCGAGAGGAACACCAGUGGCGAAGGCGGGUCUCUGGACGACUCCUGACACUGAGGCACGAAAGCUAGGGGAGCAAACAGG
rnacentral:rRNA from 1 species